GCCACAAAAAUAAUUUCACUCCAUUUUAUAAAAUCCCCCUUCCGAAAUUCCCUACUUUCCCCCCUAAAAUCCCUAAGCCUUUCCUUUCAAUUUCCAAAAACCAAAAAUUGAACUCCACUACGACAACACACACAAACGCCUCUCACAUUUUUGCUUAUUUUUAGGGUUCAUUUUUUCUUCUUUUAUUAACCUAAAUUUCAUUUCUCCAUCCCAAAAAUCCUUGGAUCAGCUGAAAUCCCCCAAAUAGAAAUCGGACCGAGCAGCUUUACAUCAAGGAAGAAGAAGAGUCUGAAAAACAAAAGCAGCUAAGUUGCCUUUAUGGCUUGUGAAGGCGAGUAUUUUUGGCAUGUAAUUCAGCUACAAAAUUUUCAGUUUUUUGUUUGGCAAAAAUAGAAAGGCAAAUCCCCAAAGCCCUUUGGAUUAAAUGGUUUUAAUUAUAGUAAAUUUGACUUGCCCUUUUGUUUUACCUUAAUCUACUUUUGCUAGUUUGUGGAUGCUUUCCCUUUUCGUAUUUUCUCUCUAUUUUGAUCAUCUUCCAACAGAUCGGCUUCAGAUGGGUGAGGUAGUCUCUACAAUUCCAAGUAGGUUUGCCUUUGCCGGCUACUCUCUCAAUUCUUUUUUAUCAUUCUUGUUUUGGGUUUUCAUUUUUUUUCUAAAUGACUGACAGCUUCGAAGCGCCAUUUUUUUGAACUCUUUUUUUGCAGCAAGCAAUGGCCCCAAAAGCUGCUGUUGCUUUCUUUUUGCCACCAUUUCUUUUCUUUUUCAUGGUCUCUCAUUUUACCAUUUGUUGCCUUCACCAUGGAGAUGGAGAAAAGGCUUCUCUUUUCACUUCUUUUAUUCUAGCUGCUUCUUCUUUUGGAUUCCUCUUCAGCUCAGAUGCAAGAUUUAGGACUAAGACAACCAAGGUUAGAAGGGGAAGAAUAUUUAUCAAUUAUUGAUGAGUUCAUCGAAGCGGUUUUAACACGUUGGCCUAAGGCUAUUGUACAGGUUUCUCUCUUUCAGAAGUAAGACUUUUGUUUUAUGCUUAUACCAUGAUGUUUAUUUGAUGGUUACCCCAUUUAGUUUGAGGAUUUUCAAAUGAAGUGGGCCUUUAAAACUCUGAAAUGCUAUCGGGAAAGGUUUUGCAUGUUUAAUGAUGACGUACAGGUGAGCACUUGGCCUAGCAAGUUGCUACUUUUAUGGAUAGGAUUAGAUUCUAGUGUAACUUAGAUUGCUGUAGCAUCACUAUGAAUGCCACCAAUAUUAGAAAGUUGUGCUUACUUAAUUCUCUUAGGUAACUGCUGGAGUUGCACUUGCUGGAUUGUUAGGAACUGUAAGAGAACAAGGUUGAUCUUUGGAUGAUUUUCCAAACCACAAGAUUGUUGUGGUGGGAGCUAGAAGUGCAGGGCUUGGUGUUCUUAGCAUGGCUGUUCAUCCUAUUUGUGCGAAGCCUUUUAUGUUCUUUUAGAUAUGUAAUGUCCUUUCUCUUGUAUAAUGAAGAUGUAGAUUUUAUGAACUAAUCAUGUAAAAAUGUUUUGCUAGAAAAUCAUCUGGGGAUUUCUUUUUAUGAUAUCUACUUCAUUCA